UCUGGUUGAUCCUGCCAGUAGUCAUAUGCUUGUCUCAAAGAUUAAGCCAUGCUUGUCUAAGUAUAAAUAGUAUACAGUGAAACUGCGAAUGGCUCAUUAAAACAGUUAUAGUUUAUUUGAUAAUUGACAAUUACAUGGAUAACCGUGGUAAUUCUAGAGCUAAUACAUGCUUAAACGCCCGACUUUAUGGAAGGGUGGUAUUUAUUAGACUGAAGCCAAUAUUCCUUGUGACUAUUGCGGUGAUUCAUAAUAACUGAUCGAAUCUCUUUUUGAGAUAAAUCAUUCAAGUUUCUGCCCUAUCAGCUUUCGAUGGUAGUGUAUUGGACUACCAUGGCAGUAACGGGUAACGAAGAAUUAGGGUUCGAUUUCGGAGAGGGAGCAUGAGAAACGGCUACCACAUCUAAGGAAGGCAGCAGGCGCGUAAAUUACCCAAUCCUGACUCAGGGAGGUAGUGACAAGAAAUAGCAAACCGGGAACCUCAUGGUUUCACGGUAUUGCAAUGAGAACAAUUUAAAACCCUUAGCGAGAAUCAAGUGGAGGACAAGUCUGGUGCCAGCACCCGCGGUAAUUCCAGCUCCACUAGCGUAUAUUAAAGUUGUUGCAGUUAAAAAGCUCGUAGUUGAACCUCUGUCUGGGGCUAGUUUUGGCUUUGGUCAGGCUAGUUCUAGGCAUCCGCCUACAAGACUUAGAGGGCAUUCAGUUGUUCACUAGGAGGAGUAGGCAUUUUACUUUGAAAAAAUUAGAGUGUUUAAGGCAGGCAAUCGCCCGCAUAUAUUAGCAUGGAAUAAUAGAAUAGCACACUUUUCCAUUUCGUUGGUUAUUGGAAUCGUGUAAUGAUUAAUAGGGACAGUUGUGGGCAUUUGUAUUUAAUUGUCAGAGGUGAAAUUCUUGGAUUUAUUAAAGACAAACUAACGCGAAAGCAUUUGCCAAGGAUGUUUUCAUUAAUCAAGAACGAAAGUUAGGGGAUCAAAGACGAUCAGAUACCGUCCUAGUCUUAACUAUAAACUAUUCCGACUCAAUGUUUGACUGGCUUAUAUAACCAGUUGAGCGUUGUAUGAGAAAUCAAAGUCUUUAGGUUCUGGGGGGAGUAUGGUUGCAAAGCUGAAACUUAAAGGAAUUGACGGAAGAGCACAACCAGGAGUGGAUUCUGCGGCUUAAUUUGACUCUACACGGGGAAACUUACCAGGUUAAAACAAUAGUGGGAUUGACAGUUUGAGAGCGCUUUCUUGAUUGGUAGGGUGGUGGUGCAUGGCCGUUCUUAGUUGGUGGAGUGAUUUGUCUGCUUAAUUGCGUUAACGAACGAGACCUUAACCUGCUUACUAGACUGGCGACC
rnacentral:rRNA from 1 species